UAGAGAACUAGUAUGGGAGGGGACGAGGGGAGAGUUUGCAUGGUUUGCCCCUAAUUUCGCUCUAUGCACAGAUACAUGCGCGCGCACACACUGAUUCACGCGUAACGAAAACUCACGCAGACAGACAAGCUCGCAGUCUGCUCUUGGGGCUAUAUACAUUUUUUUUCGAACAACCAACAGGACAGUAGCUCAAAAGUGAGCAGCAUCAUUGCUCUGGUGGACGGUGACUUAGUAGCAUCCCGGGCUGCUCUUGCCUACGCAUACGACAAGUGCCAACAACAGACAGAAGUGUUUGCUUGUUCAGUCCCCGUGUUCUGUUGGUGCCGAGCAGCACGCAGUGCCGCGCGCGCCUGCCUGUAAGAAAACCAGAAGGAGCACAACGCAAGUUGACGAGUAGUAGCAGCAGCAGCCACACGGAUGCGAGGGUAAACAUACACACACAUUUGUCCUCUUCAGAAUAAGUACCCUCGAGAACUCGUCGCUCAUCGCUGGCAAGGCCUCCUCGACGUCUAUUCCAAUCAAUUCCGUGCAAUGUAACGCGCAGCAACCUCGUCGUCCUCGUCGACGGCCUCGACCUCGCAACGUACACACUCGAUCGCCGCACAACGUAAAUGGUGAAUUUAAUUUGCCAGAGUGAGAAAGAGAAAUUCCACCUUGGAAUAUUUAACAUUCUGGCAGCUUGUAAUCUAUCGAUUGAAAAUUCCUUUGGAACAGAAUUUAAAACAGCAAAAUGUUGAAUCGCUGAUGUAUAAAUGUAGCUAACGUAGGUAAGUCUUCACAGAAGAAAAUUCCAGUUGUUGAAAUGGUGUUAUCAACAAAAAAUAUUAUGAAUCACUGCAUGAUUCAUUAUUGCUUAAUAUCUGACAAUUGCUGGGCAUAGGCUUAGCAGAAUAGAAAAAAGGACGGAAGGAGCAGCCAAG